UGCACUUUUGUUUUGGCGAACAUUUCGCAUGCUUUCUCUCUCUGCCACCACUUCUUAAAAUCUUUCUUCAAAUUCUGUGGUGCUUUCCAUUUUGGUUUCUACGUCUUUCUCGAGCGUCCAAAAAGAAAACCUGUUCCUCAAUAAGCAAUAAGGGUGUGGAUCAAGUGUGAGGAGGAAUGAAGUUUUUGGUUGGUUGAGGAAAGUGGGAAUUUGGACUUAUUAAUUUAGUUGCUACUUUUUGUUCUUGCUAAAUUUGUGGUUUAGUCUGAUUUUGAGUCAGUUGAAAUGAGUGUGGUGGGCUUUGACAUCGGAAAUGAGAACUGUGUUAUAGCUGUGGUGAAGCAGCGGGGUAUUGAUGUUUUAUUGAAUGAUGAAUCGAAUCGCGAAACCCCGGCAGUGGUAUCUUUUGGGGAGAAGCAAAGGUUUCUGGGGUCCGCUGGUGCUGCUUCUGCUAUGAUGAACCUGAAGUCCACAGUAUCUCAGGUGAAGAGAUUGAUUGGUAGAAAAUUUAAGGAGCCAGAUGUUCAAAAUGAGCUAAAAAUGUUCCCAGUUGAAACUUCAGAAGGCCCAGAUGGUGAGAUUUUGGUUCAUAUGAAGUACUUGGGUGCAACCCAUACAUUUACCCCAGUUCAGAUUAUGGCAAUGCUCUUUUCUCAUUUGAAAGAGAUAACAGAGAAAAGUUUGGAAAUUCCCAUUUCAGAUUGUGUAAUUGGGGUCCCAUCAUACUUCACAGAUAUGCAGAGACAUGCAUAUUUGAAUGCUGCAACAAUUGCUGGGUUGAAGCCUUUGAGAUUGAUGCAUGACUGCACUGCAACUGCUCUUAAUUUUGGGAUUUACAAAACGGAUUUUCCUACUUCGGGCCCAAACUGUGUUGUGUUUAUUGACAUUGGUCAUUGUGAUACCCAGGUCUCUAUUGCAUCAUUUGAGGCUGGGCAUAUGAGGAUUUUAUCACAUACUUUUGACGGAAGCUUGGGAGGGAGAGAUUUUGAUGAGGUUUUGUUUAGUCAUUUUGCUGCACAAUUCAAGGAGCAGUACCAUAUUGAUGUGUACUCUAAUGUCAAAGCAUGCAUCAGGCUGCGAGCAGCAUGCGAGAAGCUGAAGAAAGUUUUGAGUGCAAAUCCAGAGGCACCUCUGACCAUUGAGUGUUUGAUGGAGGAGAAAGAUGUUAAGGGCUUUAUCAAGAGAGAAGAAUUUGAGAAGCUAGCUUCAGGAUUGUUGGAGAGGCUUAGCAUUCCUUGUAAAAAAGCCUUGGCUGAUGUAGGGUUGCCUGAAAAGAUCCAUUCUGUUGAGCUUGUUGGCUCAGGAUCUAGGAUUCCAGCAAUUACUAGACUGAUAGCUUCUCUAUUCAGGAGAGAACCCAGACGGACACUGAAUACAAGUGAAUGUGUGGCACGUGGAUGUGCUCUUCAGUGUGCAAUGCUUAGUCCAGUUUUUCGGGUCAGAGAAUAUGAGGUUCAAGAUAUAAUUCCUUUCUCCAUAGGAUUCUCAUCAGAAGAAGGCCCAGUUGGCACAGGAUCAAAUGGCAUACUUUUCCGGAGAGGCCAGCCCAUUCCAAGUAUUAAACUUCUGACAUUUCAACGAAGUAGUACAUUCCAUUUGGAAGCAUUCUAUGCGAAUCAACAAGAAUUGCCUCCUGGUGUGUCAUCAAAAAUCAGUUGUUUCACGAUUGGCCCUUUCAGCAUCUCCCAUGGUGAAAAGGCAAGGGUUAAAGUUAAAGUUAUAUUAAACCUGCAUGGAAUUGUCAGUGUUGAGUCAGCUACGUUGAUAGAAGAUCAUGUAGAUGAUUCAGUCACAAGGGGCAAUACUCAUUCAAAUAUUUCUGGUUCUUCUGAUAUGGUUGCAAAUGGUGUUGAAGAUAGUAGCAUUACACAGCCAAAAUCUUCACAUGCUUCUGCUGAUGGAUUGAGAGAAGAUAAAGCGACCAGGAGGCUUGAGAUACCAGUUAGCGUAAAUACAUAUGGUGGAAUGACUGAGGCUGAGCUCUAUGAAGCCCAACAAAAAGAAAUCCAGCUGGCCCAACAGGACAGAGCUGUAGAACUAACAAAAGAAAGGAAGAAUGCCUUAGAAUCGUAUGUGUAUGAGAUGCGGAAUAAGCUGUUCAACACAUAUCGGAGCUUUGCAAGUGAUCAGGAGAGAGAGGGCAUAUCUAGAAGCCUACAACAGACAGAGGAGUGGCUUUAUGAUGAUGGGGAUGACGAAACUGAAAAUGCUUAUACUUCAAAAUUAGAGGGUCUAAAGAAGUUGGUGGAUCCAAUUGAUAAUCGUUAUAAAGAUGAAGAAGCAAGAGCACAAGCUACAAGAGAUCUGCUGAAGUCCGUUGUGGAUUAUAGGAUGUCUGUAGAUUCGAUCCGACCCGAAGAUCGAGAAAUGGUAUGCUAUGGAAUUGGCAAUGAUGACUAUUAUAAAUCUGGGAAAAAACUUAGAUCGUUAAUGAGUGCAAUAAAGCAGAGCAGUGGCUAAGAGAGAAAUCCCAACUACAAGAUUCCAUGCCCAAGAACACCGACCCAGUAUUAUGGUCAGCCGAUAUCAAGAGAAGGAAAGAGGAUUUGGACAUGACAUGUAAGCAUAUACUGAGAUCAAAGGCUUCUCCUCCAAAUCCAGAGGACCAGGGGUCAGACUAGCACAAUAUUUACAAUCAACACAUGAAUACUAUGCUGUGGUGAUGCCUCCAUACUCCAUAGGUUUGAGAUUUGAAUCUCGUCUACUUUCUGGUAGAUUAUCCUUUUUUUUUUUUUCCUUUCUUUUUCAACUUCUUUUCUCUUUUGUGAAUUGUGAUAUGAGGGAGUAAUCCAAGAGAAUUGUAGUUAACAUCGACCCCAGUUUUUGCUUGUUUGCCUAGGCCCUAGGCUUUGAACAACAAUAAUGAAAAUAGUUUUCAAUUUUUUGCAAUUCCGGUUAAA